GGUUAAGUUAGAAAGGGCGCACGGUGAAUGCCUUGGCACUAGGAGCCGAUGAAGGACGGGACUAACACCGAUAUGCUUCGGGGAGCUGUAAGUGAGCUUUGAUCCGGAGAUUUCCGAAUGGGGAAACCCACUGUUCGUAAUGGAACAGUAUCUUUAUCUGAAUACAUAGGAUAUUGAAGGCAGACCCGGGGAACUGAAACAUCUAAGUACCCGGAGGAAGAGAAAGCAAAUGCGAUUUCCUGAGUAGCGGCGAGCGAAACGGAAUUAGCCCAAACCAAGAGGCUUGCCUCUUGGGGUUGUAGGACACUCUAUACGGAGUUACAAAGGAACGAAGUAAAUGAAGCGACCUGGAAAGGUCCGUCGAAGAAGGUAACAACCCUGUAGUUGAAACUUCGUUCCCUCUUGAGUGGAUCCUGAGUACGGCGGAACACGUGAAAUUCCGUCGGAAGCUGGGAGGACCAUCUCCCAAGGCUAAAUACUACCUAGUGACCGAUAGUGAACCAGUACCGUGAGGGAAAGGUGAAAAGCACCCCGGAAGGGGAGUGAAAGAGAUCCUGAAACCGUGUGCCUACAAGUAGUCAGAGCCCGUUAACGGGUGAUGGCGUGCCUUUUGUAGAAUGAACCGGCGAGUUACGAUCCCAUGCAAGGUUAAGCUGAUAAGGCGGAGCCGUAGCGAAAGCGAGUCUGAACAGGGCGUUUAGUAUGUGGUUGUAGACCCGAAACCAGGUGAUCUACCCAUGUCCAGGGUGAAGUUCAGGUAACACUGAAUGGAGGCCCGAACCCACGCACGUUGAAAAGUGCGGGGAUGAGGUGUGGGUAGCGGAGAAAUUCCAAUCGAACCUGGAGAUAGCUGGUUCUCUCCGAAAUAGCUUUAGGGCUAGCCUCAUGUUGUGAGAGUCUUGGAGGUAGAGCACUGAUUGGACUAGGGGCCCCCAACGGGUUACCGAAUUCAGUCAAACUCCGAAUGCCAAAGACUUAUCCAUGGGAGUCAGACUGCGAGUGAUAAGAUCCGUAGUCAAAAGGGAAACAGCCCAGACCACCAGCUAAGGUCCCCAAGUAUACGUUAAGUGGAAAAGGAUGUGGAGUUGCUUAGACAACCAGGAUGUUGGCUUAGAAGCAGCCACCAUUUAAAGAGUGCGUAAUAGCUCACUGGUCGAGUGACUCUGCGCCGAAAAUGUACCGGGGCUAAACGUAUCACCGAAGCUGUGGAUUGACAUCUUUGAUGUCAGUGGUAGGAGAGCGUUCUAAGUGCAGCGAAGUCAGACCGUAAGGACUGGUGGAGCGCUUAGAAGUGAGAAUGCCGGUAUGAGUAGCGAAAGACAAGUGAGAAUCUUGUCCACCGAAUGCCUAAGGUUUCCUGAGGAAGGCUCGUCCGCUCAGGGUUAGUCGGGACCUAAGCCGAGGCUGAAAAGCGUAGGCGAUGGCCAACAGGUUGAUAUUCCUGUACCACCUCCCCGCCGUUUGAGUAAUGGGGGGACGCAGUAGGAUAGGGUAAGCGCGCUGCUGGAUAUGCGCGUUCAAGCAGUUAGGCUGAUGAGUAGGCAAAUCCGCUCAUCAUAAAGGCUGAGCUGUGAUGACGAGGGAAUUAUAGUACCGAAGUUCCUGAUUCCACACUGCCAAGAAAAGCCUCUAGCGAGGCGGGAGGUGCCCGUACCGCAAACCGACACAGGUAGGCGAGGAGAGAAUCCUAAGGUGAUCGAGAGAACUCUCGUUAAGGAACUCGGCAAAAUGACCCCGUAACUUCGGGAGAAGGGGUGCUCUGGUAGGGUGUAUAGCCCGAGAGAGCCGCAGUGAAUAGGCCCAGGCGACUGUUUAGCAAAAACACAGGUCUCUGCGAAGCCGCAAGGCGAAGUAUAGGGGCUGACGCCUGCCCGGUGCUGGAAGGUUAAGAGGAGGGGUUAUCCUUCGGGAGAAGCUCUGAAUCGAAGCCCCAGUAAACGGCGGCCGUAACUAUAACGGUCCUAAGGUAGCGAAAUUCCUUGUCGGGUAAGUUCCGACCCGCACGAAAGGCGUAACGAUCUGGGCACUGUCUCAACGAGAGACUCGGUGAAAUUAUAGUACCUGUGAAGAUGCAGGUUACCCGCGACAGGACGGAAAGACCCCGUGGAGCUUUACUGUAGCCUGAUAUUGAAUUUUGGUACAGCUUGUACAGGAUAGGUAGGAGCCUGAGAAGCCGGAGCGCUAGCUUCGGUGGAGGCGUCGGUGGGAUACUACCCUGGCUGUAUUGAAAUUCUAACCCGCGGCCCUGAUCGGGCCGGGAGACAGUGUCAGGUGGGCAGUUUGACUGGGGCGGUCGCCUCCUAAAAUGUAACGGAGGCGCCCAAAGGUUCCCUCAGAAUGGUUGGAAAUCAUUCGUAGAGUGUAAAGGCACAAGGGAGCUUGACUGCGAGACCUACAAGUCGAGCAGGGACGAAAGUCGGGCUUAGUGAUCCGGUGGUUCCGCAUGGAAGGGCCAUCGCUCAACGGAUAAAAGCUACCCCGGGGAUAACAGGCUUAUCUCCCCCAAGAGUCCACAUCGACGGGGAGGUUUGGCACCUCGAUGUCGGCUCAUCGCAUCCUGGGGCUGUAGUCGGUCCCAAGGGUUGGGCUGUUCGCCCAUUAAAGCGGUACGCGAGCUGGGUUCAGAACGUCGUGAGACAGUUCGGUCCCUAUCCGUCGUGGGCGUAGGAAAUUUGAGAGGAGCUGUCCUUAGUACGAGAGGACCGGGAUGGACACACCGCUGGUGUACCAGUUGUCUUGCCAAAGGCAUCGCUGGGUAGCUAUGUGUGGACGGGAUAAGUGCUGAAAGCAUCUAAGCAUGAAGCCCCCCUCAAGAUGAGAUUUCCCAUAGCGCAAGCUAGUAAGAUCCCUGAAAGAUGAUCAGGUUGAUAGGUCAGAGGUGGAAGCGUGGCGACAUGUGUAGCUGACUGAUACUAAUCGAUCGAGGACUUAACCAA
rnacentral:rRNA from 1 species